rnacentral:miRNA from 1 species
UGCUGGGGGCCACAUGAGUGUG